rnacentral:lncRNA from 1 species
CAAGGUCCUCAUGUCUGUCAGACAGUUUUCACUUGACCUCGACCUCAUUUCAUGGAUCAGUGAUCAAGGUUAAGUUUUGGUGGUCAAGUCCAUAUCUCAGAAACUAUAAGCAAUAGGGCUAGUAUAUUCUGUGUAUGGAAGGACUGUAAGGUGUACAUGUCCAACUGGCAGGUGUCAUCUGACCUUGACCUCAUUUUCAUGGUUCAGUGGUUAUAGUUAAAUUUUUGUGUUUUGGUCUGUUUUUCUCAUACUAUAUGCAAUAGGUCUACUAUAUUUGUUGUAUGGAAUGAUGGUAAGGUGUUCAUGUCUAGCGGGCAGAUGUCAUCUGACCUUGACCUCAUUUUCAUGGUUCAGUGGUCAAAGUUAAGUUUUUGAGUUUUGGUCUUUUUAUCUAAUACUGUAUGCCAUAGGUCAACUAUAUUUGGUGUAUGGAAAUAUUUUAUGAUCUUUAUGUCAGUCGCGCAGGUUUUAUUUGACAGUGACCUCAUUUUCACGGUUCAUUGCACAGUGUUAAGUUUUUGUGUUUUGGUCUAUUUUUCUUAAAUUAUAAGUAAUGGGUCAACUAUAUAUGUUGUAUAGAAGCAUUGUUAGCUGUACAUGUCUGCCUGGCAUGGUUCAUCUGACCUUGACCUCAUUUUCAAGGUUCAUUGGUCUUUGUUUAGUUAUCUUGGUUAAUGUUAAGUUAUGAGACAGUUGUAAUAAAACUAAGCUUUAUACUUAGGACUAUCAACAUAAUAUCAAUGAUUAGUAUAGAAGGCGAGACAUUUCAGCGUGUGCACUCUUGUUAUAUAAAUAAGGCCGUUAGUUUUCUUGUUUGAAUUGUUUUACAUUGUCAUAUUGGGGCCUUUUACAGCAGACUAUGCUGUAUGGUCUUUGCUCAUUGUUGAAGGCCAUACAGUGACCUAUAGUUGUUUUGUAAUGUCUGUGUCAUUUUGGUCUCUUGUGGACAGUUGUCUCAUUGGCAAUCAUACCACAUC